ACAACUCACAAGAUGAAAGUAAAAAACAUUCAUCAAUCGCCGUUUCACUCGGAAAUGACGGAAAUUAGAAUCUGAAGCGAAAAAUUGGUUCCUAUUCUAAUUCAUAGAAAGUAGAAAUGUUAUCCCUGGACGCUGCGAUCGACAAACCGUUUCGAUCUACUGCACAGAUCUUCAAUUUUCCCAGAGGCAGGUCAUAAACAAGUGAGCAUACAAAAAACAUGGUUCACCAUUGUGUUUUCCAAGUACAAAUUUUUUAGUAGACUUGUUUGGCGGCCCAACAAAUGAAAUGCGUUUCAACAAACAGGAAAUGAUCACAUUGGCACAACAACCAUCUAAUAAAUUUGACAAAGAAGGUCUAUUAUUUGUUCGUGAACGCCAAGAAGGGUUUUUCAGAAGAACUGAAAAGAGAGAUUCAAAACGAAGCAAAAAAAGAGAACGUCUAAGCAAUUUGAACUGUUAUGGCGGAUCACAUAAAGGUA